AUUGAACGCUGGCGGCAGGCCUAACACAUGCAAGUCGAGCGAGUGGCGGACGGGUGAGUAAUGUCUGGGGAACUGCCCGAUAGAGGGGGAUAACUACUGGAAACGGUAGCUAAUAACGCGUCCCAUCGGAUGUACCCAUAUGGGAUUAGCUUGUAGGUGAGGUAACGGCUCACCUAGGCGACGAUCCCUAGCUGGUCUGAGAGGAUGACCAGCCACACUGGAACGGAGACACGGUCCAGACUCCUACGGGAGGCAGCAGUGGGGAAUAUUGCACAAUGGGCGCAAGCCUGAUGCAGCCAUGCCGCGUGUAUGAAGAAGGCCUUAGGGUUGUAAAGUACUUUCAGUCGGGAGGCGUUACCAGCAGAAGAAGCACUGGCUAACUCCGUGCCAGCAGCCGCGGUAAUAC
rnacentral:rRNA from 1 species